rnacentral:rRNA from 1 species
GAUGAACGCUGGCGGCGUGCCUAAUACAUGCAAGUCGAGCGAACAGACGAGGAGCUUGCUCCUUUGACGUUAGCGGCGGACGGGUGAGUAACACGUGGGUAACCUACCUAUAAGACUGGGAUAACCUCGGGAAACCGGAGCUAAUACCGGAUAAUAUUUCGAACCGCAUGGUUCGAUAGUGAAAGAUGGCUUUGCUAUCACUUAUAGAUGGACCUGCGCCGUAUUAGCUAGUUGGUAAGGUAACGGCUUACCAAGGCAACGAUACGUAGCCGACCUGAGAGGGUGAUCGGCCACACUGGAACUGAGACACGGUCCAGACUCCUACGGGAGGCAGCAGUAGGGAAUCUUCCGCAAUGGGCGAAAGCCUGACGGAGCAACGCCGCGUGAGUGAUGAAGGUCUUCGGAUCGUAAAACUCUGUUAUUAGGGAAGAACAAACGUGUAAGUAACUGUGCACGUCUUGACGGUACCUAAUCAGAAAGCCACGGCUAACUACGUG